rnacentral:lncRNA from 1 species
AUGAACAAAGCUAGCGGAGGUGAUGGAAUUCCAGUUGAGCUGUUUCAAAUCCCAAAAGAUGAUGCUUUGAAAGUGCUGCACUCAAUAUGCCAGCAAAUUUGGAACACUCAGCUGUGGCCACAAGACUGGAAAAGGUCAUUUUUCAUUCCAAUUCUAAAGAAAGGCAAUGCCAAAGAAUGCCCAAACUACCGCACAAUCGCACUCAUCUCACACGCUAGUCAAGUAAUGCUCAAAAUUCUCCAAGCCAGGCUUCAACAAUAUGUGAACCAUGAAUUCCCAGAUGUUCAAGCUGGUUUUAGAAAAGGCAGAGGAACCAGAGAUCAAAUUGCCAACAUUCGCUGGAUCAUAGAAGAAGUAAGAGAGUUUCAGAAAAACAUCUAUUUCUGCUUUAUUGACUAUGCCAAAGCCAUUGACUGUGUGGAUCACAAUAAACUGUGGAAAAUUCUGAAAGAUAUGGAAAUACCAGACCACCUGACCUGCCUCUUGAGAAACCUAUAUGCAAGUCAGGAAGCAACAGUUAGAACUGGACGUGGAACAACAAACUGGUUCCAAAUAGGAAAAGGAGUACAUCAAGGCUGUAUAUUGUCACCCUGCUUAUUUAACUUAUAUGCAGAGUACAUCAUGAGAAACACUGGACUGGAAGAAGCACAAGCUGGAAUCAAGAUUUCUGGGAGAAAUAUUAAUCACCUCAGAUAUGCAGAAGACACCACCCUUAUGGCAGAAAGUGAAAAGGAACUAAAAAGCCUCUUGAAGAAAGUGAAAGAGGAGAGUGAAAAAAUCGGCUUAAAACUCAACAUUCAGAAAAUGAAGAUUAUGGCAUCUGGUCCCAUCACUUCAUGGGAAAUCGAUGGGGAAACAGUAAAAACAUUGUCAGACUUUAUUUUUUUGGCCUCCAAAAUCACUGCAGAUGGUGACUGCAGCCAUGAAAUUAAAAGACACUUACUCCUUGGAAGAAAAGUUAUGACCAACCUAGAUAACGUAUUCAAAAGCAGAGACAUUACUUUGCCUACUAAGAUCCAUCUAGUCAAGGCUAUGGUUUUUCCACUAGUCAUAUAUGGGUGUGAGAGUUGGACUGUGAAGAAAACUGAGUGCCGAAGAAUUGAUUCUUUUGAACUGUGGUGUUGGAGAAGACUCUUGAGAGUCCCUGGACUGCAAGGAGAUCCAACCAGUCCAUUGUGA